CCUUCGGGAGNNNCUUAAUGGCGAACGGGUGAGUAACACGUGGGCAAUCUGCCCUUCACUCUGGGACAAGCCCUGGAAACGGGGUCUAAUACCGGAUACGACCUCCGACCGCAUGGUCUGGUGGUGGAAAGCUCCGGCGGUGAAGGAUGAGCCCGCGGCCUAUCAGCUUGUUGGUGGGGUGAUGGCCUACCAAGGCGACGACGGGUAGCCGGCCUGAGAGGGCGACCGGCCACACUGGGACUGAGACACGGCCCAGACUCCUACGGGAGGCAGCAGUGGGGAAUAUUGCACAAUGGGCGAAAGCCUGAUGCAGCGACGCCGCGUGAGGGAUGACGGCCUUCGGGUUGUAAACCUCUUUCAGCAGGGAAGAAGCGAGAGUGACGGUACCUGCAGAAGAAGCGCCGGCUAACUACGUGCCAGCAGCCGCGGUAAUACGUAGGGCGCAAGCGUUGUCCGGAAUUAUUGGGCGUAAAGAGCUCGUAGGCGGCUUGUCACGUCGGAUGUGAAAGCCCGGGGCUUAACCCCGGGUCUGCAUUCGAUACGGGCAGGCUAGAGUUCGGUAGGGGAGAUCGGAAUUCCUGGUGUAGCGGUGAAAUGCGCAGAUAUCANGANNAACACCGGUGGCGAAGGCGGAUCUCUGGGCCGAUACUGACGCUGAGNANCNAAGCGUGGGGAGCNAANA
rnacentral:rRNA from 1 species